rnacentral:rRNA from 1 species
GAUGAACGCUGGCGGCGUGCCUAAUACAUGCAAGUCGAACGAAAUUAUUUUAAUAGAAGAUUACUUGUAAUUGGAAGUUAAAUUAAUUUAGUGGCGAACGGGUGAGUAAUACAUAAGUAAUCUGCCCUUAAGGACCGGGAUAACUGUUGGAAACGAUGGCUAAUACCGGAUAAGUAAUUGGAAGGCAUCUUCUAAUUAUUAAAAGUUUAAAUACACACAAAGGAUGAGCUUAUGGUGCAUUAGCUAGUUGGUGGGGUAACGGCCUACCAAGGCUGUGAUGCAUAGCCGACCUGAGAGGGUGAUCGGCCACACUGGGACUGAGACACGGCCCAGACUCCUAC